AGUGAACGCUGGCGGUAGGCCUAACACAUGCAAGUCGAACGGCAGCACAGUAAUAGCUUGCUCUUACGGGUGGCGAGUGGCGGACGGGUGAGGAAUACAUCGGAAUCUACUUUUUCGUGGGGGAUAACGUAGGGAAACUUACGCUAAUACCUCAUACGACCUACGGGUGAAAGCAGGGGAUCUUCGGACCUUGCGCGAUUGAAUGAGCCGAUGUCGGAUUAGCUAGUUGGCGGGGUAAAGGCCCACCAGGGCGACGAUCCGUAGCUGGUCUGAGAGGAUGAUAAGCCACACUGGAACUGAGACACGGUCCAGACUCCUACGGGAGGCAGCAGUGGGGAAUAGUGGACAAUGGGCGCAAGCCUGAUCCAGCCAUACCGCGUGGGUGAAGAAGGCCUUCGGGUUGUAAAGCCCUUUUGUUGGGAAAGAAAAGCAGCAGGUUAAUACCCCGCUGUUCUGACGGUACCCAAAGAAUAAGCACCGGCUAACUUCGUG
rnacentral:rRNA from 1 species